GGGGCAGAAGCAGAGGAGCAGAGGCAGAGGGGCAGAGACAGAGGCAGAGUAGCAAAAGACAGAGGCAGAGGCAGAGAGGCAGAGGGGCAGAGACAGACAGGCAGAGACAGAGGCAGACAGGCAGGGGCAGAGGGGCAGAGGCAGAAGUUCAGGAGCAUCCACUGGUUUCUCAGGUCAAUACUAAUAAACUAGCUAUCUCAUUAUUUCAAGUCAUGAAGAGGCAGGAAGUAGAAGAUACAAAGCAGAGUUGUGCCUUUCCCAAAAGUGCGACUAAGACAUUAAACUACAAACCUCUAAAAUUGUUUGUGGUAUAGCACUCUUUUAAUCCCAACAAAAGGGAUGCAGAGGCAGAGGGGCAGAAGCAGAGGGCAGAGGGGCAGAGGGGCAGAGGCAGAGGAGCAGAAUCAGAGGGGCAGAGGGGCAGAGGAGAGGCAGAGGGGCAGAGGAAGAGGGGCAGAGGCAAAGGCCAAAGGUCAGAGGCUGAGAGGCAGAGGCCAAGAGGCAGAGAGGCAGGGGCACAGGGGCAGAGAAAAAUGGCAGAGAUAGAGGUGUAGAGGCAGAUGGGCAGAGACAGAGGCAGAGAGGCAGAGGGGAAGAAGGGCAGGGGGCAGAGGACAGAGGAAGAGGCAGAAGGAGAGAGGCAGAGGCAGAGGGGCAGAGGCAGAGGCAGAAGCAGAGGCAGAGGACAAUGGCAGAGGCAAUGGGGUAGAGGCAGAAAGGCUGAGUAAAAGGCAGAUGGGCAGGGGCAGAGGGGAAAAGGCAAAGUUAGAGACAGAGGCAGAGAGACAGAGGCAGAGAGGCAGAGGCAGAGAGGAAGAGGCAGAGGGGAAGAUUCCAAGAGGCAGAGGGGCAGAGAACAGAGGUAGAGGCUGAGAGAAAAAGGCAGAGGUAGAGGGGCAGAGGGAAGAGGGAGAGGGGCAGAUGCAGAGGCAGAGGGGCAGCAGAGGCAGAGAGACAGAGGGACAUAGGACAAUGACAGAGGGAGAGGGGCAGAGGCAGAGAGAGCGAGGGGCAGAGGACAGUGACAGAGGCAGAGGGGCAGAGGCAGAGGGGCAGAGACAGAGGCAGAAGGGCAGGGGCAGAGGUGCAGUGGCACAGUUAGAGACAUAAGCAGACAGGCAGGGGCAGAUGAGCAGAAGCAGAGGGGCAGAGGCAGAUGGGGAGGGACAGAGGGGCAGAAGCUGAGUUGAAGAGGUCAGAGGCAGAGGGCCAUAUGGGCAGAAACAGAGGCAGAGGAGCAGAGGCAGGCAUCAUAGGCAGAGGGGCAGAGGACAGAGACAGAGGCAGAGUGGCAGAGGCAGUGGGGCAGAGACAGAUGGAGAGGUUCAGAGGGGCAGAGUCAGAAGCAGAGGGGCAGAGGCAGAGAGGCAUAGGCAGAGGAGUAGAGGAGUGGGGCAGAUACAGAGGGGCAGAGGCAGAGGCAGAGGUAGAGGGGCACAGGCAGACAACCUCAGCAGAGGGCCAGAGAGGCUGAGGCAGAGGUAGAGAGGCAGAGGGGCAGAGGCAGAGGGGCAGAGGACAGAGCCAUGGGCAAUGGGGCAGAGGCAAACAGGCAGGGGCAGAGGGGUAGAAGGGCAGAGGGGAAGAGGGGCAGAGAACAGAGGCUGAGAGAGAAAGGCAGAGGGGCAGAGGGAAGAGGGAGAGGGGGAGAUGCAGAGGCAGAGGGGCAGAGGCAGAGAGACAGAGGGGCAGAGGACAAUGACAGAGUCAGUGGGGCAGGGACAGAGGCAGAGAGACAGAGGGGCAGAGGACAGAGACAGAGGCAGAGGGGCAGAGGCAGAGGGGCAGGGGCAGAGGCAGAGAGACAGAGGGGCAGAGGACAAUGACAAAGCCUAGGGGCAGAGGAAGGGGGCAGAGAAGAGGCAUAAGGGCAGGGGCAAAGGUGCAGUGGCACAGUUAGUGACAUAGGCAGAGGCAGGGGCAGAUGGUCAGAGGCAGAGGGGCAGAGGCAGAUGGACAGAAGCUGAGCUGAAGAGGUCAGAGGCAGAGGGGCAUAUGAGCAGAAACAGAGGCAGGGGAGCAGAGGCAGGCAUCAGAGGCAGAGGGGUAGAGGACAGAGACAGAGGCAGAGGGGCAGAGGCAGUGGGGCAGAGACUAAUGGAGAGGUUUAGAGGGGCACAGUCAGAAGCAGAGUGGCAGUGGCAGAGAGGCAUAGGCAGAGAAGUAGAGGAGUGGGGCAGAAACAGAGGGGCAGAGGCAGAGGCAGAGUGGUAGAGGCAAACAGGCAGGGGCAGAGGGGCAGUUGCAGAUGCAGAGGCAGAGGCAGAGGCAGAGGCAGAGGCAGAGGCAGAGGCAGAGGCAGAGGCAGAGGGGCGGAGGCAGACAGGCCUGAGCAGAGGGCCAGAGAGGCUGAGGCAGAGGGACAGAGACAGAGGGGCAGAGGACAUUGCCAUAGGCAGUAGGUCAGAGGCAAACAGGCAGGGACAGAGGGGCAGAGGGGCAGAGGGGCAGAGGGGCAGAGGGAAAGAGGGGAAGAGGGGCAGAGGGGUAGAGAACAGAGGCUGAGAGAGAAAGACAGAGGCAGAGGGGCAGAGGGAAGAGGGAGAGGGGCAGAGGCAGAGGGGCAGAGGCAGAGAGACAGAGGGGCAGAGGACAAUGACAGAGUCAGCGGGGCAGGGACAGAGGCAGAGAGACAGAGGGGCAGAGGACAAUGACAGAGGCAGAGGGCCAGAGGCAGGGGGCAGAGACAAAUGCAGAAGGGCAGGGGCAGAGGUGCAGUGGCAUAGUUAGAGACAUAGGCAGACAGGCAGGGGCAGAUUGGCAGAGGCAGAGGGGCAGAGGCAUAUGGGGAAGGGCAGAGGGGCAGAAGCUGAGCUGCAGAGGUCAGAGGCAGAGGGUCAUAUGGGCAGAAAUGGAGGCAGAGGAGCAGAGGCAGGCAUCAGAGGCAGAGGGGCAGAGAACAGAGGACAAUGACAGAGGCAGAGGGCAGAUGCAGGGGGACAGAGACAGAGGCAGAAGGGCAGGGGCAGAGGUGCAGUGGCACAGUUAGAGACAUAGGCAGAAAGGCAGGGGCAGAUGGGUAGAGGCAGAGGGGCAGAGGCAGAUGGGGAGGGACAGAGGGGCAGAAGCUGAGCUGAAGAGGUCAGGGGCAGAGGAGCAUAUGGGCAGAAACAGAGGCAGCAGAGCAGAGUCAGGCAUCAGAGGCAGAGGGGCAGAGGACAGAGGCAGGGGCAGAGUGGCAGAGGCAGUGGGGCAGAGACAGAUGGAGAGGUUCAGAGGGGCAGAGUCAGAAACAGAGGGACAGAGGCAGAGAGGCAUAGGCAGAGAAGUAGAGGAAUGGGGCAGAUACAGAGGGGUAGAGGCAGAAGCAGAGGCAGAAGCAGAGGUAGAGGUAGACAGGCCUGAGGAGAGAGCCAUAGAGGCUGAGGCAGAGGUAGAGAGGCAGAGGGGCAGAGGGAGAGGGGCAGAGGAAAGAGGUAGAGGGGCAGAUGCAGAGGCAGAG
rnacentral:lncRNA from 1 species